rnacentral:rRNA from 1 species
GAUGAACGCUGGCGGCGUGCCUAAUACAUGCAAGUCGAGCGAACAGACGAGGCGCUUGCUCCUCUGACGUUAGCGGCGGACGGGUGAGUAACACGUGGAUAACCUACCUAUAAGACUGGGAUAACUUCGGGAAACCGGAGCUAAUACCGGAUAAUAUAUUGAACCGCAUGGUUCAAUAGUGAAAGACGGUUUUGCUGUCACUUAUAGAUGGAUCCGCGCCGCAUUAGCUAGUUGGUAAGGUAACGGCUUACCAAGGCAACGAUGCGUAGCCGACCUGAGAGGGUGAUCGGCGACACUGGAACUGAGACACGGUCCAGACUCCUAAGGGAGGCAGCAGUAGGGAAUCUUCCGCAAUGGGCGAAAGCCUGACGGAGCAACGCCGCGUGAGUGAUGAAGGUCUUCGGAUCGUAAAACUCUGUUAUUAGGGAAGAACAAAUGUGUAAGUAACUAUGCACGGCUUGACGGUACCUAAUCAGAAAGCCACGGCUAACUACGUG